rnacentral:rRNA from 1 species
GUGGGGAAUAUUGGACAAUGGGGGGAACCCUGAUCCAGCCAUGCCGCGUGUGUGAAGAAGGCCUUUUGGUUGUAAAGCACUUUAAGCGAGGAGGAGGCUACCGAGAUUAAUACUCUUGGAUAGUGGACGUUACUCGCAGAAUAAGCACCGGCUAACUCUGUGCCAGCAGCCGCGGUAAUACAGAGGGUGCAAGCGUUAAUCGGAUUUACUGGGCGUAAAGCGCGCGUAGGCGGCUUUUUAAGUCGGAUGUGAAAUCCCUGAGCUUAACUUAGGAAUUGCAUUCGAUACUGGAAAGCUAGAGUAUGGGAGAGGAUGGUAGAAUUCCAGGUGUAGCGGUGAAAUGCGUAGAGAUCUGGAGGAAUACCGAUGGCGAAGGCAGCCAUCUGGCCUAAUACUGACACUGAGGUGCGAAAGCAUGGGGAGCAAACAGGAUUAGAAACCCGGGUAGUCC